rnacentral:rRNA from 1 species
UACGUAGGUGGCAAGCGUUGUCCGGAAUUAUUGGGCGUAAAGCGCGCGCAGGCGGUCCUUUAAGUCUGAUGUGAAAGCCCACGGCUCAACCGUGGAGGGUCAUUGGAAACUGGGGGACUUGAGUGCAGAAGAGGAAAGCGGAAUUCCACGUGUAGCGGUGAAAUGCGUAGAGAUGUGGAGGAACACCAGUGGCGAAGGCGGCUAUCUGGACGGUUUCUGACACUAAGACACGAAAGCGUAGGGAGCAAACAGG